CGAACGCUGGCGGCGUGCCUAAUACAUGCAAGUCGAACGCGUCUUGGUCAAUGAUUUUAGGUGCUUGCACUUGAMUGAUUUGACAUURAGACGAGUGGCGAACUGGUGAGUAACACGUGGGUAACCUGCCCUUGAAGUAGAGGAUAACACUUGGAAACAGGUGCUAAUACUGCAUAACAACGAAAACCGCCUGGUUUUCGUUUGAAAGAUGGCUUCGGCUAUCGCUUUAGGAUGGACCCGCGGCGUAUUAGCUAGUUGGUGAGGUAACGGCUCACCAAGGCAAUGAUACGUAGCCGACCUGAGAGGGUAAUCGGCCACAUUGGGACUGAGACACGGCCCAAACUCCUACGGGAGGCAGCAGUAGGGAAUCUUCCACAAUGGACGAAAGUCUGAUGGAGCAACGCCGCGUGAGUGAUGAAGGGUUUCGGCUCGUAAAACUCUGUUGUUGGAGAAGAACGGGUGUCAGAGUAACUGUUGACAUCGUGACGGUAUCCAACCAGAAAGCCACGGCUAACUACGUGCCAGCAGCCGCGGUAAUACGUAGGUGGCAAGCGUUGUCCGGAUUUAUUGGGCGUAAAGCGAGCGCAGGCGGUUUUUUAGGUCUGAUGUGAAAGCCUUCGGCUUAACCGGAGAAGUGCAUCGGAAACCGGGAGACUUGAGUGCAGAAGAGGACAGUGGAACUCCAUGUGUAGCGGUGAAAUGCGUAGAUAUAUGGAAGAACACCAGUGGCGAAGGCGGCUGUCUGGUCUGCAACUGACGCUGAGGCUCGAAAGCAUGGGUAGCGAACAGGAUUAGAUACCCUGGUAGUCC
rnacentral:rRNA from 1 species